AUUGAACGCUGGCGGCAUGCCUUACACAUGCAAGUCGAACGGCAGCACGGGAGCAAUCCUGGUGGCGAGGUGGCGAACGGGUGAGUAAUAUAUCGGAACGUGCCCAGUCGUGGGGGAUAACGUAGCGAAAGCUACGCUAAUACCGCAUACGAUCUAUGGAUGAAAGCGGGGGAUCGCAAGACCUCGCGCGAUUGGAGCGGCCGAUAUCAGAUUAGGUAGUUGGUGAGGUAAAGGCUCACCAAGCCGACGAUCUGUAGCUGGUCUGAGAGGACGACCAGCCACACUGGGACUGAGACACGGCCCAGACUCCUACGGGAGGCAGCAGUGGGGAAUUUUGGACAAUGGGCGCAAGCCUGAUCCAGCAAUGCCGCGUGCAGGAUGAAGGCCUUCGGGUUGUAAACUGCUUUUGUACGGAACGAAACGGUGAGCUCUAAUACAGUUUGCUAAUGACGGUACCGUAAGAAUAAGCACCGGCUAACUACGUG
rnacentral:rRNA from 1 species